rfam:Chamaesiphon minutus PCC 6605, complete genome.
GGAGAGGUGUCCGAGUGGUUGAUGGUGGCUGACUCGAAAUCAGUUUUAGGGUUACACCUAACGGAGGUUCGAAUCCUCUCCUCUCCG